rnacentral:lncRNA from 1 species
UGCUCUCCUGCAAAGCUGACACACAGCGGGAAGUUUUGCUUUUCUCACAAAUUCUCAGUUUAAUACAAGGAACAUCAGCAGCUGGUAAAGAACAGAUUCGGGGUGCUGAGGCGAAAUGGAGUGGAGAGCAGCUUUGAGUGGAAGUCUUGCUGAGCUUCCAGAAUGCUGAGGAUAAAGCAUUACCUAACACUGCUCUGCCACGUUGGUUUCUUCUAAUUGCUUCAGCAUAAAGCCAAGGUAGAAGCAAUGACCUUAGACCUUGCUUCUCUUCAGAGUGUGCAGCACUUUGCUGAAGCAUUCAAAUCCAAGAAUCUAUCUCUUCUUGGAUGAGAAAACUGAAAUGGAAACACUCCAGAAAAAGGAUCUCUGAAUUUCACUGAGUCAAAACAUCCAAACCUCUUGCAGCUGGGGAAGGUGGUGGUGGUGGGAUGGCAGGGAGCAGAGGGCAAAUAGCUGAGAUUGUGAAUCUCCCACUUUAAUAAAAUAACUUGUAGAGGUAAAAAAAAAAAAAAA